GGUUCGACUCGAGCGCAGCGAGAGAACGUUGCGUCAGCAACGGCCCGCAGGGCGAGCUACGCAGUGGCGAGUCAUCCUCUAUCACCGGCAG
rnacentral:sRNA from 1 species